rnacentral:lncRNA from 1 species
GUAAAACUUUGUAGCUAUAUUUCUAUGAAAACUGUGAAAAGAGGAAAUAUUUUUGUCAUGAUUUAGAACCGAUACCACUUGUAAAGCAUAGCUGUACUUAAUUUCUGAAGACUUUUCAGCAACUGCCAAGAUAAAGAACAUUAAUUAAAUUUAUUAUAUUUUUAAUUUUUUCCAGAAAUUGCUGUCUCAUGAAUAUCAAUGCUAUCUCCUCUUUUUUCUAUUUAAAACAUUGUUAUUUUUGUGAUAUGAGAGAAAAAAAUAUAUAGAUAGUGCUUCUAAGCAUAUUUGGUCAUUUUGUUGUUUUCUUCAAGUAUUCCAGACUCACAAUCAUGUAGAUAGUAUUCAAUUUCAAUUGUUGAAAUCCUAUAAGAGUUGAUCAUUCCACCAACUGUCUCAUCUGGUGUUUUUAAAGUUCAAUAUUGUAUCAAUCAUAUUUAAUUGUUACAAACCUAUUCAAUCUUUAAAAUCAUUUAAAAGUUUAAUUAUCAUUAAAAGUUUAUCAAUUCAAAGAACUGUCUCUUCUGAUAAACAAGGGUCACAAUGUAUCUUAACUGUUGAGGGUUUGCAAUUUUUAUUUUAACAGAUUUUUAAGUUGACAAUCAAUAUUAAAAUUGGAAAGUCCCUUAUCAAAUAGCAAAAUCAAAAGCUCAAACACAUCAAACGAUUGGAAAAUCAAUUAAUUGUUAAAUGUUCUUGUCCUGAUAUGCAUGACAUAUUUUCCAUAAUAUUUUUAACACUCAAUUUAUCAUCAUUGCAUCACCAAGGUAGUUAUUGCUCAACUUACAUUCCAAACAUGGGAGACAACUCAAAGUUAACUACCUGCUUAAUGGAUAGAAAAAAAUCUUCUCAACUAUACUAUAAAGAUAUACCACCGAAAUCUGAAUUUAAUGUGCUAAUUUUGUUUUUAUUGCUAAUCGACUUGAUCAUUGUUAAAAUUUCAGUUUACAUGUAGAUAAUAUGAUAUGCUUAUUAUUUAUGUAUUUUAAAGGCAGCAGUUCUUAAAAUGUACAUACAUUUUAAUUAGAAUAUGUUUAUUCUUAAUAUAGAAAUAUAUUUUGUUUAGUUCACAAGAUUAGUACUAGACUUAUGACUAUUUCACGUUGAUGUUUCUGUAUUAGAUAUGUUUAAAAAGGGUGUUUUAUUAGCCAUUACUUGAAUCAGUGGAUGAAGAGAGGUUAAUGCAAACAUCUUUAACUUUACAUAAAUCACAUCAGCUUCUUUGAAAAACACAUCUCACGGGGAAAAAAAUGUUUUGAAAUAGGGCUGUUGUUCAUUGUUCCACCUUCAGCAUCAACACUAUUAGCCCUUUGCUUUUAAUGGAAGAUGCAGACAUCUACAUUGUUUUACUGUAUACGGUUUAUAAAUAUUUUGUUAGAGAUAAAUAUAUAACUAGUAAUGAAAACUAGCUGUUUUUGUUUUGAACUUUUUGUUGGUGAUAUUGUUGUUGUUUUU